rnacentral:rRNA from 1 species
CCAGACUCCUACGGGAGGCAGCAGUGGGGGAUAUUGCACAAUGGGGGGAACCCUGAUGCAGCGACGCCGCGUGAAGGAAGAAGUAUUUCGGUAUGUAAACUUCUAUCAGCAGGGAAGAAAAUGACGGUACCUGACUAAGAAGCCCCGGCUAACUACGUGCCAGCAGCCGCGGUAAUACGUAGGGGGCAAGCGUUAUCCGGAUUUACUGGGUGUAAAGGGAGCGUAGACGGCAUGGCAAGUCUGGUGUGAAAGGCAGGGGCUCAACCCCUGGACUGCAUUGGAAACUGUCAGGCUGGAGUGCAGGAGAGGUAAGUGGAAUUCCUAGUGUAGCGGUGAAAUGCGUAGAUAUUAGGAGGAACACCAGUGGCGAAGGCGACUUACUGGACUGUAACUGACGUUGAGGCUCGAAAGCGUGGGGAGCAAACAGGAUUAGAUACCCCAGUA